UCUGUGGAAAGAGCAGCAGAGCUUUGAGCUGCAGGUAAAGGAAUCUGACUGAAAACUCAACUCUUAAGAAAUAACAAGGAAAAUGGACCUUUUGCAUCUGGGUGGUCAACAGAGACAGUGGAGCACUAUUCUGGCCAGAAGAGAAGGAGACACAGCACAGGCAGAGUGGAAUAAUAAAAGGAAGCAGAGUAAUAAUGAGAUUUCAUAUAAUGCUCUCUAUCCUGACUGGAAGAGAGAUUCAGAUGUUUCAUCCUUGAGAUCACCAUCUUGAGCCUCAACACUGAAGAUAUUUAAAAACAGCAGAUGGAUUUCUUACUGUACCAGAUGAAGUAGAACAACUGUAGGUGAUAACACCUGUGUUGCCUGCGCCUGUACAUUUGAAGAGUGCUCUCAGGAACACGUGCAAAUACUGCAGGCCCUUUGACGUGCCAUGUGCUGACCCCACAGCUGUCUCACAGGCUGACCACAAGGAGCUUGUCAGCUGUAUCUGCAAGAUUGUAGUUGCUCAGGCAUUUGAAGUUGUGGGUGCACCUUCACCCAUAUCUGGGACUGUGUUUACAAUUUCACAGUUUUGGAUCAACCCAAAACUGGACUUCAGAAAGGUCACCAACGGACUUCAAAGAUAAUGUAUGCCCUGACUGAUUUACUUUAGAGAGUCCUCUAAAUGGCCACUGAACUCUUGCGUCUUUGGGCUGGACAGUCUCUGUUAAGAAAUCCUGUAACUUGCUGUCUUUUUGCACUGUACUGCUACAUCUUCUCAUUUAGUUAGUAUUGAACUUUUAAUCAAACAUAAUGCUUUAAGGAUCUGGAUCUUGAAAUUUGUUGGCAGAUUCUUAAGUAUUCAUCCUUCUCAUCUGAUAAAUUGCUUAGCUCUCCUACAGCAGUUAAGACAUAAAAACCUUCCCUGAAUCUUUGGUGGAUAAAAAAGUCUGAAGGCUUCUGGCUUUUCUAAUGGCUAUGCUAUUUUGUUUGCUGCUGUCAGCAUUUCUUUUUAUUAACAGGUACUAUGUUUGUUUCUCAUACAGCCUGGCAGCUUAACGUUUAAAGCAGGUGAGAAUCUGAUUUUACUUACAGAACAUUUCAUUUAUUUAAGGCUAUUUGAAAUGACUUGUUUAAUGGAUGUAUCACACCUUGGCUGAUGAUCUGUCCCUGUUUCUGUGCAAUUACAGUUCUGCGUAACAAAGAGUGGGACAUGUGUAUCCAGGCAAAACUAAAUCACUUAAGGAGAAAAUAAAGUCUGUUGAAACACUACAUAAAUGCUGAACAUGGCACCUUUUUUAAUUGAGCUUGGUAAACAGAGAGGUUCCCAGCAUAUCCUGAAAGUUUAGUCCCUGGACCAAGUCAAAAAAUGACCCACCACUCUUCAAGGUAAAAUACAAGUUACAAGUCAAACAACUAGUCCUUUUAAGGAACAGUGAAUACAUGUAAAUUGGUGAUUGUUUUAGAGCUUCUUGGUUUGACUCAAUUCAUAAAUUUAGUUUAUCGGUUAAAAAAUUUGCUGCACCAAGAACUUGAUUGUCACCCUCCUCACAGAGAUGGAACCUAAUGUGCUGAAGUGCAGGCUGACAUAGAAAGCCUUUGAAGUUUACAGUGCCAGUCAGAGAUGUGCCUGUAUCCAAGAGCCAAGUCUGUUUAGUGACAAUUACUAAAUCUGUAAAUACUUUUGAUUCACAGAAUCAUGAAUCAUGAUUCUGUAAAUACUUUUGAUUGAUGGUUUUAAAGAGAGAGACAAUUCUUGAAUGUCAACUCAUAAAUGCAAGUGGAUUAAAAUUUCUUGAACCACCUGCUUGCUUCAAAGUCUAUGGCUUGAACAUUGUGUGAAAAAUCUGUUCCAUGAGUUCCUCAGAAAGGUGCCUUAGUACUGAAGGUAGUGGUGCCUUUCUCUGAAGCCUGGCUGAAGAUAUCUUCCCAAAGUGAAGAUAUUAAUGGCCUCAGACUAAUUACACUUUUGCAAGAUGUAAGACUCUCAGUUGCCUGAAGUGUAGGUUCCUGUUCAUUUGCUGGCUGCUGACAACUUGUGAGCUUAAGUUGACCUCUGUGUAUUUUAAAUUGGGUAUUAACUUUGGAAGAAAAAGAACAUGUCAGAUGAACUGUUACCUCAUCUUCUGUGUCAUGCCAUAGGUCUCACUGGGAGCUGGACAAUGAUGGCAGAAGAAAGCUGGGAAAUUGUAUUAUUAUAAAGAACAGCUUCAUAAGUGGAAAAAGUGUUGGUGAAGGCAGACGCUAUUAGUGUGAAGGAAGCAGAGCCUACUCAUUAGCUGUUCUUUCUAUGUGGGAAAUUAAAAUGUGAAAUAAAAAGGACUAGUUGCACUGUGCAACUAGUUGCAGUGCAAUGAGCAUGCAUCAUGAUUUGAAUAUAACAAAUGCCAAAUGCAACAGCUAUGUAGUGGGCAGAUUUCUUUUUUCUCUGGGGAUUUUGAUCUGUAUUCUUGUAGAAGAAGAUUUUUUGUAUCACAUCUAUGCAUUUCCCAUCACUUUGUAAGCUGAAGGAGAAAUCCAGUCUCGCAAAUUAACCAGGUAGCAUUCUCCUAUGUAAUAGACCAUGUAGGAGUAUGUAAACCUUAGAGGAGUGUUUGUCACCGAAUGAACACGUCUGUACUAGUUCAAAAUGCCCUUCAAGCUAUGCCUGAAAUAUUUCUCUGUUCAAAUGAGUUACCCCUUCUUGUGGGUGGAAUGAAGAAUCUUGUCCUUCAUCUUAAUUUGUAUACACUAAGUUCAUGACAGAGUAACUUAGUCAUACGAAGGAAGGCAGAUAUCACCUCCCUUCUAUGCCAUGCAAAGCUGUUGUGAGCCAAGGAGUUGUACAGCUAACAGACUAGUAAAACCAGGCCUGCCAUGUCUACCAAAAUAAUCAGGUCGCAUACUCUCCAUACUCGUUAAAAAGCUAACUAAGCUAUUUGUAUGGCUUCUAAACCACGCAUGUACAAAUUCACAUUAAAAUUAGAAUUAA